rnacentral:sRNA from 1 species
UCACAUAUGUCGGGUCAGUGAUGAGCUUUCUUGGUGUCUUGGGCCUGGAGUUGUACAGAUCUGACGACAGAGUUUGGUAUCUGGAUGCCGUCUUUGGUCUUGUUUGUGGAUUCUUUCUGUGUGCCUUUGGAAUGAAGUUAAUGGUCGACAUGACCUGCCAUUACAAGAAUAAAGAGCCAUUGCUGACAGCCUCCUGAUCCUGACGACAUCUGAUGAAAUUUGAUGGUCUGCUAUGGUGGACAGCUGGCCCUCCAAAGAGAGGCGGCCUUAGCAGUACGCGGGGCCCCGGGCGAGUCUAAUACGCGGGCCCGUGAACAAUACCGUAGACUACAUACACCGUACAUUACACUAACGAGCAUGUCCGCCUCUAAUAAUGUAGGCCUUAUUAUUGUUGUCAAAGUAAAAUCUGUAAGUGGGACCACUGUACUA